rnacentral:rRNA from 1 species
CGCCUGUUUAUCAAAAACAUAGCCUUUAGCCAGACAAGUAUUGAAGGUAAUGCCUGCCCAGUGAAGCCACUUUCAACGGCCGCGGUACCCUAACCGUGCAAAGGUAGCGUAAUCACUUGUCCACUAAUUAUGGACCUGUAUGAAAGGCCACAUGAGAAUCUAACUGUCUCUUGUAACUAAUUUAUAAAACUGAUCUUCCAGUCCAAAAGCUAGAAUACCCAUAUAAGACGAGAAGACCCUGUGAAGCUUA